rnacentral:rRNA from 1 species
AUUGAACGCUGGCGGCAUGCCUUACACAUGCAAGUCGAACGGCAGCACGGGGCAACCUGGUGGCGAGUGGCGAACGGGUGAGUAAUGCAUCGGAACGUACCUUUCAGUGGGGGAUAACGUAGCGAAAGUUACGCUAAUACCGCAUAUUCUGUGAGCAGGAAAGCAGGGGAUCGCAAGACCUUGCGCUGAUUGAGCGGCCGAUGUCAGAUUAGCUAGUUGGUGAGGUAAAGGCUCACCAAGGCGACGAUCUGUAGCGGGUCUGAGAGGAUGAUCCGCCACACUGGAACGGGGACACGGUCCAGACUCCUACGGGAGGCAGCAGUGGGGAAUUUUGGACAAUGGGGGCAACCCUGAUCCAGCCAUGCCGCGUGAGUGAAGAAGGCCUUCGGGUUGUAAAGCUCUUUCGGCCGGGAAGAAAUCGCACGGGCUAAUACCCUGUGUGGAUGACGGUACCGGAAUAAGAAGCACCGGCUAACUACGUGCCAGCAGCCGCAGUAA